rnacentral:rRNA from 1 species
GGACUUUGAAUUUGCUUGUGUAGGAUAGGUGGGAGGCUUUGAAGCGUGGACGCCAGUCUGCGUGGAGCCAUCCUUGAAAUACCACCCUGGCAACUUUGAGGUUCUAACUCAGGUCCGUCAUCCGGAUCGAGGACAGUGUAUGGUGGGUAGUUUGACUGGGGCGGUCUCCUCCUAAAGAGUAACGGAGGAGUACGAAGGUGCGCUCAGACCGGUCGGAAAUCGGUCGUAGAGUAUAAAGGCAAAAGCGCGCUUGACUGCGAGACAGACACGUCGAGCAGGUACGAAAGUAGGUCUUAGUGAUCCGGUGGUUCUGUAUGGAAGGGCCAUCGCUCAACGGAUAAAAGGUACUCCGGGGAUAACAGGCUGAUACCGCCCAAGAGUUCAUAUCGACGGCGGUGUUUGGCACCUCGAUGUCGGCUCAUCACAUCCUGGGGCUGAAGCCGGUCCCAAGGGUAUGGCUGUUCGCCAUUUAAAGUGGUACGCGAGCUGGGUUUAGAACGUCGUGAGACAGUUCGGUCCCUAUCUGCCGUGGACGUUUGAGAUUUGAGAGGGGCUGCUCCUAGUACGAGAGGACCGGAGUGGACGAACCUCUGGUGUUCCGGUUGUCACGCCAGUGGCAUUGCCGGGUAGCUAUGUUCGGAAAAGAUAACCGCUGAAAGCAUCUAAGCGGGAAACUUG